AAUACCGCAUACGCCCUAGGGGAAAGCAGGGAGUCUUCGGACCUUGCACUAUUGGAAGAGCCUGCGUUGGAUUAGCUAGUUGGUAGGGUAAAGGCCUACCAAGGCGACGAUCCAUAGCUGGUCUGAGAGGAUGAUCAGCCACACUGGGACUGAGACACGGCCCAG
rnacentral:rRNA from 1 species